rnacentral:lncRNA from 1 species
CCGCAGAGGGAGUGACGGCCGGUGCGUGGGUCGCGGGCGGCCGCGUGGUUCCACGAGCUCCGAAGCGGCAGAACGAGCGGAGCCGCCCGCGAGAACGUGCCCGUGGCCUCCCGACGCGUGACCGGGGAGCACGGCUGGUGCCGAACGCGUCAGCCCGCUUGACCCCAACGACCUUCUUUAUGGAGACCAUAAAGCCGUUGGGUUUCGUGCCACGUCUUUGUGCAGAUGGAACCUGCCCCCCCCCCAUUUUAUUACAGGUGAGAUCGUCUCGCCGAGCUUCCGGGUUGGGCCGGCCGGGCCAGCUCCCGAGCCAGGUGCCGAGCCUGGGUUGGAGGCCGGGAGGGUGCGCCUUGUAAGUCGUCCAGAAACGGCAUCGAGUCAACGGGGACCACAGGCUGCGGCCGCAGAGCGAUCUGGACAGGACGUGAGCUGUGAUGAAGGACGGACGCCCGCAGCAAGGCCGUCCCAUCGAACAUUCUCGCUACAGAGUCCCNCAAGGCCCCCCCCCCCCCCCCGAACCCAUCGUCCCAGGCUCGGCCGCACACCACCACCACCCCACAUCCUGGAGAGUGAAAAUGCUCAGUAUGGGGCGGGGAGGAGCGCGCGCUGCUGCCACCGUGAGAAGAGCUUCUUUCAUGGCCAUGAAAACACUUCCUCCGGGUAGUCUGCUAGUCCCAGAGGAAUGAGAAUGAAGCAGACAAAAGCAAAUACACAGCUUGGAGUCAAGCCUCGCCAAGCCCAGCUGAGAUCUGCAGAGCCAUUCUAGCCACGUCAUGAUCGUUGAAAUAAAUGCUUACUGUUGUGUGUCA